CGAGAGGACAGCGGACGGGAGGAAGGCAGCCGACUUGGGGCGGCCUGUCCCACUGAGAAGCCCCAGGUUUGCAUUGGGUUUACAGCCUGGGAGUGUGGAUGGUGAUGUAUGACCACAACUCGGCUUCAAGUGCCAGUGCUUGGGGUGCGGGUUGGGUAUGGUGGUGGUUAAAAGCUGGUAUUCAGCUUUGCACGAAGAACUGGAAGGCUAGAUCACCCAGGGCCGCGCAUCGUGAUGCAGCAUAAAAUUCCAAGAAUUUUCGUUGCUGGCUUUAAAUACUUGUAACACUGUAGAAGAAAUCCACGCGUUUUCUUCUCUAAAUCUAAGCAAUCUUUUGUCAUUAGAGUGCAGACCUGCAAAAGUAGAAAGAAUGUGUUUACAGUGGCUGGGCUCUCGGCCAUUAGAUUUUCACUAUAAACAUGUUGAGUGUCCAUUUACAGAACACAUAUCCCAGGGGCAUUCCAAAAGAGUGGAGGAGUCAAAGAUUCAGUGGAUUAACAGAGCCUUGUGAGCUUCACUUCACAGUGAGGAAUGGGGGGCAGGCACAUGAUAAAGCCAUUUCCCUCAAAGAGCUUACUUGAGGGUAUAAGACAUGUUACUUGGGGGUAUAAAACAUGUUAAAAAGAAAUAUUGCAAGUUUAAAAAUAGUAGAAGGCCGGGUGCAGUAGCUCACACCUGUAAUCCCAGCACUUUGGGAGCCCAAGGCAGGAGGAUGCCUUGAGCCCAGGAGUUCAAGACCAGCCUAGACAACAUGACGAAACCCAGGUGUCUACAAAAAUACAAGAAGUCCCAGCUAUGGGAGGCCGAGGUGUAAGGACGGAUCGCUUGGUCCCAGGAGGUCCAGGCUGCAAUGAGCCAUGAUUGUACCACUGCACUGCAGCGUGGGUGACAGAGUGAGGCCCUGUCCUCCCUCCCUCACCACAAAGGAAAAAAAAAAAAAACAGUAGAAGACAAAUACAAGAGGUCAUACAUAGAGUGUUGGGUAAGUUUCAAGUGAAUUGAAGAUCAAAAAGCUUCACUUGGAAGUGACUAUAAACUUGCAGCUUUGUAAAUGUGCACCUUACCCUUGUAAUUUGUGCAUAUGGGCAAACCUUUGAGAACUAAGAGGUUGAAUCUCAGAGACUGUUCUCUUUUAGCCACAAAUUGCCUCGACCUUUGCCUUCCUCUUGUAGGCCUCCUUGUUCCUUCUCCAUUUCUUCCUACCAGAAGUUAUGGUUGUUAAUUGAGAGGAAAUGCCAGCAUUCCCUUCAAGGCAGAAUUUUUGGUCAAAACUUUUCCCACCUCUUAUUGAACAAUUUUAUAUCCUAUUUAUUUCUAUUAAUAAUUUAAGGUGGUGAUUGUUCACUCUAUUUUGCAAAUCCAGUCACUGGAGGGACAAAAUUUAAGAUGUUUACCUAAGUAAGCUGGGUAAAAAUCACCAUUUCAAACACCUAGUUGUGAGGGGAUUCGUGGUAGAGACCAGGGCUCUCCCUCUGAGGAAACACCACUCACUCAGCACUUGUGUGCUAGCCCAGUUCUCCUUGUACCUAGGCCAGCUGGAGCCUCCCUCUGACCCCAGAGCCCACAUUCUAGGAACUGAGCCUACUGCCCUUCAGCAAGUGCACAUUUUCCUCUUGGGUUGGCUUCUGUGUCCAUCUCAAUGAAGACAGGAAACCAGUAGGAUGAGGUUCCUAACGAGUAUGUGACCCAUCUGAUAUAGCUGCUCCCCAGUCUAUGUCUGACACCCUCAUUAGACCCUUUCUCUGCUUACCCUCUCCUCAGCAAAUUACUCUCAUGCAGUGUGUCUUUAUUGAACACCGUGUACCAAACAGCUAUGAGCUGUGGCUCGCCCUUUGGGGCAUCAUUCCAGACAGGUUUCAUCACCACGCUCUCCACAAGUAUCUGCAGCUCCUGUCCUCUCUCUUUCCCUUUCUUCCCUUGGCAUGACAAACCCUGGCAAAGCGUCCCCUAGGUUGUUACGAUGAUGCAUUUGGAGGGCAAGUAUGUAUGCUUGCAGGGUAAAAAAAAGCCGGGGUUCCAAAAAAGAGUGAACAUUUACCUGAAAUGGAAUUGGAUAGAAGAGAAAUUGGGAAGAAUUCUCUGUUUUGGUAAUAGGAGAUAAUGAUAUUUGUCAUUACCCAACCUUGAUUUGUCAGUAAGUUGCAGGUCCUGAAUUAAGCACUUUAUUGGAAUGCUUAGACCUCACAAAGACCAUGUGAGGUACAUACAAUAGUGCUAAGUGGCAGGGGGUUGAGAAUUCAGGCUCUGAGUUAAGUCUGAUUCCUCAUUUACCAGCCAUGCGACCUUGGGAUAUUACUUAAUCAUGAAGCCUCAUGUCUUUAUCUUUAAAAUGAGAAUACCUUCUAAGAUUGUUGGAAGGAUUGGGAUAAUUGAAAUUAUGAAUCUAAAGCACUUAGUAUUAGAGCACUAGGGGGUGCUUUAAAAAUAGUCAUGCCCAGGCUCCACCUUGGACCAACUGAAUUAGAAAUUCUGAGGUCAGGGUCUGGCAUUGACUGAUUGUUGUUGUUGUUGUUUUUAAAUAUUUGCCAGGUGAAUCUAAGGCAGUGAAGGUUGAGAACCCUGAGAUAGAGGUCUCUGUGCUGCACAUGCCAGCGUUUGCCUUCAGCUCUGACUCUCUGGUUCCUGCUUAGAAUGAGGACAGAGCCAUGAACUGACUACACACAGGGGGCAGCUUCCAUACACAAAACAUCUCGGUUUGUUUCUAGAACAACCUACCACAGCAGGGACCAUCCCUCUCAUUUUACCAGGAUUUGCCUCAGGUCACACAGUGAGUGGCAGGCCUAGGAUUCGAACUGAGAAUUCUGAGUCCAUGGUGCAUUCUCCUCUUCCCCAGUACUGCACUGCCUCUCCAAAAUGAGCCUAAAGAAAGGGGGCUUUAUGUGAGCCUUUUGGCCUGGAGAAAAGGGGCUGGAACCAGAUAAGCAAACAUAACCCGAGACACUUCCCCAACCUGUCUAAAGCUAGUGGUUAUCUGGCCAAAUCUGCCCCAAUAGGGUUAGUUUUUGGUUCUCUCUGGUGUUUUUUAAAUUUUUGAUCUCUUGAGGUCAGGAAUUCAAGACCAGCCUGAGCAAGAUAGCAAGACCCCCAUCUCUAAAAUCUUUUAAAAUUAGCUAGGUGUGGUGGCAUGCACCUGUAGUCCCCCAGGUGCUUGGGAGGCUGAGGUGGGAGGAUCACUUGAGUCCAGGAAUUCAAGGCUGCAGUGAAAUAUGAUUGUGCCACUGCACUACAGCUUGGAUGACAGAGAAAGACUCCAUCUCUUAAAAAAAAAAAAAAAGUUUCUUAGUCUGUUGCCAACAUUUAAAAGGAAGAGAUUUCACCUAAAAUUUGGAUUUCUAGCUCUUCUUGAGAAAUUGGAAGAUAUGGUAACACUGGCACUAUACCCACAGGGUAACAGUUAGCUGGUAUGUGCUCUAGUUAGUUCACCUCUUCCUCAUCAGGCUCUCCCCACCAAUCUCUGGGUGACUUAGCCACCCUGAUUUGGAUCUUUUACCUUCAUAGUGGCAUUGACCCGCUCCAGUUCAUGAGAGAAGACUGUGCACAUCUUGGUAGUUUGAAAUGGACUACUAUGGGAGUAUUUACAUCACAGAAAUUGGCAAAUCCAUCAAGGCUUGCUUGCUUUUUUUUUUCCUUCCUUUUCUUCUUUCGGAGGGCCAGUCUGCCAGCACACCAUUGCCCCUACUCCACUCAGCCACUGUCUUGCAUUCUGAGGAGGAAGAUUUGUUCUGAAUAGAAAGUAAAGGAAACAGAAGCACUGGAGAAACUGUACGUCGAUUCUGCUUAGCAACUGAUUAUACAUUAUCUAACCUUGUUUUUAAAGUACUUCAAUUUAACACAAUGGAGCAAAUAACCAGAACAAACUUCCUGAUGAAAACUAAAGCUGGAUAAGAUUUUUAAAAAUUUUUUAAAUGGAUUUUAUUGAGCUGGCAAAAAAGGAAGAAACCCACAGAGACCAAAAACAAAGUUAAGGUGGGAAGUGAGCACACUCCUAGAAAAUCUGACAACAUUUGAGCUUCUACUUUGACAGGUGUGUAGAGUCUGGGACACAGAAGAUAAAUCCUCAGUCUUGUCCAAGAUCAGGAGAAUAAGAAGACUCUACCCCCCUAAAACCAGAAGUCCAAAGGGCCAAAGUAAAGGCGAAUGUGAAAUUAACUGGCUUUGCAGAAGAGGAUCCCAGGAAAAAUCGUCUGUCUUGAUCAAAGCCCUGAAUAAAAGAGUAUAAAAAAUAUUCUUCCUUGAAAAUUCACAACUAUGGUGUGGUCCGUAUGUAAUAUUAUGACCAAAAUUCAUGAUACCAUGGAAUUAUUUUAAAAACUUCAUGAGCCCCAGUUUGUGGUGCUUUUAACAACUGGCAGAAGGAAAGACACAUCCUCUUGGAGGGCUAUCUUGAGCCUAGGCCCCAAAGAACUUCCAUAAUCAUAAUCAGAAAACACAAAACAUAUAAUAAGCAAGGCUCCAUGUAGGAGCAGACAGAAACAAAAUGUAAGGUCAGAUACACAAAGGCUGGGGUAUGAGAAUAAGCUGACACAGAAAAUAAGUGUACUUAAUAGGUUUAAACAAAAAGGAAGUUUGAAAAUAGAAGAAAGGAACAAGAGUCUAUAAAAAACAACUGAGUAGAUUUGAAAUCAAAAUACUUCUUUGUUUUUCUUCCCAGCUAGAUAUUAUGUCCUUGAAGACACAGGGAUCAGGCUAAACACUAUAUGUUAUCGUUUGUCAAUUGAAGGAAGUUAGAAACAAAGUACUCAAUUUUUUUUGAAACCCAGCAGUAAGAAUGAGAGUUGUGACUACAUUUUUAAAAUGUAAAUGUAAAAACUCCUGUUGUAAAUGUUAAUCAAUCUCUUCUAGAGGAAAGGAAGACAAAAUCAAAAUUAAUGCAAUGCUUCCGGCUGACUGGCCUCCAGCAAAUGGCAUUGAGCUUUGUAAGUGGUCCAUCUACUCCAUUUCUCAUCUUGCAAA
rnacentral:lncRNA from 1 species